rnacentral:rRNA from 1 species
GACGAACGCUGGCGGCGUGCCUAAUACAUGCAAGUUGAGCGCUGAAGGUUGGUACUUGUACCGACUGGAUGAGCAGCGAACGGGUGAGUAACGCGUGGGGAAUCUGCCUUUGAGCGGGGGACAACAUUUGGAAACGAAUGCUAAUACCGCAUAAAAACUUUAAACACAAGUUUUAAGUUUGAAAGAUGCAAUUGCAUCACUCAAAGAUGAUCCCGCGUUGUAUUAGCUAGUUGGUGAGGUAAAGGCUCACCAAGGCGAUGAUACAUAGCCGACCUGAGAGGGUGAUCGGCCACAUUGGGACUGAGACACGGCCCAAACUCCUACGGGAGGCAGCAGUAGGGAAUCUUCGGCAAUGGACGAAAGUCUGACCGAGCAACGCCGCGUGAGUGAAGAAGGUUUUCGGAUCGUAAAGCUCUGUUGGUAGAGAAGAACGUUGGUGAGAGUGGAAAGCUCAUCAAGUGACGGUAACUACCCAGAAAGGGACGGCUAACUACGUG